ACACGGGGGGCGCAAGCGUUAUUCGGAAUUAUUGGGCGUAAAGGGCGUGUAGGCGGUUUUAUCGGUCAGAUGUGAAAGCCCAGGGCUCAACCCUGGACGUGCAUUUGAAACAGUAAGACUUGAGUACGGUAGAGGAAAGCGGAAUUCCUGGUGUAGAGGUGAAAUUCGUAGAUAUCAGGAGGAACACCGAUGGCGAAGGCAGUUUUCUGGACCGAAACUGACGCUGAUGCGCGAAGGCGUGGGUAGCGAACAGGAUUAGAUACCCUAGUAGUCC
rnacentral:rRNA from 1 species